rnacentral:rRNA from 1 species
GAUGAACGCUGGCGGCGUGCCUAAUACAUGCAAGUCGAGCGAACGGACGAGAAGUUUGCUUCUCUGAUGUUAGCGGCGCACGGGUGAGUAACACGUGGAUAACCUACCUAUACGACUGGUAUAACUUCGGGACACCGGCUCUAAUACCGUAUCAUAUUUUGAACCGCAUGGUUCAAAAGUGAAAGACGGUCUUGCUGUCACUUAUAGAUGGAUCCGCGCUGAAUUAGCUAGUUGGUAAGGUAACGGCUUACCAAGGCAACGAUGCAUAGCCGACCUGAGAGGUGGUCCGCCACCAUGGGAACGGGGCAAGGGUCCGGCUUCUUCGGGAGGGAGCCGGAGGGAAUCCUCCGGAAUGGGCGGAAAGCUGGACGGGGAACGGCCGCGGGAGGAAGAAGGUUUUUGGGUCGGAAAAACUUGUUGUUAAGGAAGAAAGAUAGUGAGAAGGGAAUGUGCACACCUUGACGGUACCUUACCAGAAAGCGACGGCUAACUACGUG